CGCACCUGGCGGCCGCCGAGCGGAAGGAGCCGCCGCAGCCCCCGCGCGCCGUGGGCGGCCUCCGGCCGGGGCGGGCACCGCGCUUCCCUCCGCCGGCAGCCGCUCGCGCGGGCGGCCCUCCUCCCGCCGGACCAGGUAUUAUAUUUUCAAGAAAUGCUGUAAAAUACACAGUAUUAAAGAACAUCAUCCAGAGAAACUUUUGCUUUGUGAUAAACUUUUAAAACUAGAAUGGCUUUGAAAAAAAUGCCUAAACUAUUCAAGAAAUUAUUUUUUCACUGGAAACUUUGGAAAUUUAGCAUUAUUGUGUUUGUCUUUCUAGUAUUUUUAUUUUUAUUGCAACGAGAAGUUGGUGUCCAAGAUUUUAGAGAUGAAGGAGGGAUUGAGCCAGUUGUCAGAAGGAAAGGACAUGUGUUAGGUCUGGUGUUAAAUGCUAUGAACAAUAUCAAUGUUGCAAAGCCAAAAAUGCAAAUAAAAGCACCUGUCAGGCAAACUAAGGUUCCCAGAGAGAGACACUGUUUGCCAGGACACUAUACUGCGAUGGAACUCAAACCCUUUCUAGAUCGACCCCUUCAAGAUCCUAAUGCUCCUGGAGCUUCUGGUAAAGCAUUUAAAACCAUCAACUUAAAUCCAGAAGAGCAGAAAGAAAAAGAGCGUGGAGAAGAAAAACACUGUUUCAAUGCAUUUGCAAGUGAUAGGAUUUCAUUACACCGAGAUCUUGGACCAGACACUCGACCUCCUGAAUGCAUUGAACAAAAGUUCAAGCGUUGCCCGCCAUUGCCAACCACAAGUGUUAUAAUAGUUUUUCAUAAUGAAGCAUGGUCCACUCUGCUUAGAACUGUUCACAGCGUGAUGUACACUUCUCCUGCCAUACUGCUAAAGGAAAUCAUUUUGGUGGAUGAUGCUAGUGUAGAUGAAUACUUGCAUGAUAAACUUGAUGAAUAUGUGAAGCAAUUUCAGAUUGUUAAAGUAGUCCGUCAAAAGGAAAGAAAAGGUCUAAUCACUGCACGGUUGUUGGGAGCUUCAGCAGCAACAGGAGAGACCCUCACCUUUCUGGAUGCUCAUUGUGAAUGCUUCUAUGGCUGGUUAGAGCCAUUGUUGGCAAGAAUAGCUGAGAACUCUGUUGCUGUUGUAAGCCCUGAUAUUGCUUCUAUAGAUCUCAAUACUUUUGAAUUUAGUAAACCAUCUCCUUAUGGGCAUAACCAUAAUAGAGGAAAUUUUGACUGGAGUUUGUCAUUUGGAUGGGAGUCUCUUCCUAAAUAUGAAAAUAAGAGAAGAAAAGAUGAAACCUAUCCAAUCAGAACGCCUACUUUUGCUGGAGGUCUCUUUUCAAUAUCAAAAGAGUAUUUUGAACACAUUGGAAGCUAUGAUGAUGAAAUGGAAAUAUGGGGAGGUGAAAAUAUAGAAAUGUCUUUCAGAGUAUGGCAAUGUGGUGGACAGUUGGAGAUCAUGCCUUGCUCUGUUGUUGGCCAUGUCUUUCGCAGCAAGAGUCCCCAUACUUUCCCAAAAGGUACUCAAGUGAUCACACGUAAUCAAGUCCGCCUUGCAGAAGUCUGGAUGGAUGAAUAUAAAGAAAUUUUUUACCGAAGAAACACAGAGGCAGCAAAAAUUGUGAAACAAAAGACAUUUGGAGACAUCUCAAAAAGACUCGACUUAAGGCAGCGUCUGCAAUGUAAAAAUUUUACCUGGUAUCUCAAUAAUGUUUAUCCAGAAGUAUAUGUUCCAGACCUGAAUCCUUUGUUUUCUGGAUAUCUGAAAAAUGUAGGUAACCACAUGUGUCUGGAUGUUGGUGAAAACAACCACGGUGGCAAACCAUUGAUUAUGUAUUCUUGCCAUGGACUUGGAGGAAAUCAGUACUUUGAGUAUUCUGCACAUCAUGAAAUUCGUCAUAACAUUCAGAAGGAGCUUUGUCUGCAUGCUUCUAAAGGACCUGUGCAGCUUCGUGAAUGUAGCUACAAAGGCCAGAAAAUCUUUGCCUUUGGAGAAGAGCAAUGGCAACAUCAAAAGGAUCAAACUCUGUACAGUGCAGCACUACAUAUGUGCCUUACAGGAAAUGGAGAGCAUCCAAGUUUGGUUUCCUGCAACCCAUCAGACCCCUUCCAGAAGUGGAUCUUUGGCCACAACAAUUAAGAUUUGCUAUCUAUAGACAGGAGCAUUUUAUUAAAAGAGCAGUUCCAGUUCUAAACAGAGACCAUAUGUGUAUACUGGAUUUUAAAGGGAUGCAUACUUCAAAUGGAACAUUUUUAUUCCUUUUCUUUACUAUAUGAAUUGGGUCUAAAAUGUGUAGUCAGAGAUUCCCUAGGAGUCUGUUACACCAAAGAAUGUUUGAGGUCCCAAUUAAGGAAAAUGUUUACAAUAUUUGCAUGAUAAGACUUUGUACGCUAACCAUUGAUUCGUAGAUCCUGUAGUCCUUUUUCACCUUGGGGGCCAUAUGUGUAUUGGUUUACCACAAAUUGUAAGUACUUCUGAAGACAACUAGUUUACUUUGUAGAGUUACAAGAAAUUAUUGUAUACUGUCUGAAAGCCAAAACGCUGUGUGUGUAUAUAUAUAUGUAUAUAUUCAUGCUCAAUUGGAUGAUUUCAUGUAAUUUUUAAAAAACUGUUUAUUUCACUAAGUGAAACUUUCUCACCUUUUUAAACAAGAACCAAAGAGGCUACCAUACCGUGCUGUUGUGCCUCUAGCAAAGCAACCCUUUUGUUGUAGAAGAAAAAUUAAUUCUCACUGAAAUAUGUUAUUUAUAUGUGAUUAUUUAAAGGGAAAACCUGCCUACUCUGAUAUUAAUCUCCUUUUAGCCAAAACUGUAUAGUUUUUUUUAUGAUGUCAUGAAGUAUAAAAUCUAUGGCAGUUACGCUGUUAGACGUUUUCUGCAUUUUGUUAUUGCUUUUAAAUUACUAACAUGUUUUUUUACCUUUUAGUGAUUUAUGCAAUGUUUACGUAACAUGUUUCUAAUACUAUUUGUACAUAAUUUCCUGUGCAAACAUUUAAAUAUUGAUUUUUUAAUUUUUUUUGUUUCCCCUUUUUGAAGGACUGACCUCAGUUUUAACAGUGAGAAGAUGGCCUUCCAAACUGUUUUGCUAGCUCUUUUAAUGAAAUAGUGUGUUCUUGUAAGGAUCCAAAAAUGUAAUUUAAUAGACUAUGUAGAGCUAUGACUUCAGAAAUAGCGUCCCUUUGAUUAAGUAUGUUAAAAAUAUUUAUUUCUUUGGUUCUUUUACUUGAUGCACACUUGUUAAGCUCUACUCUGUUAGUCUUCGUUGCAGUCGCCAAUCAUGCCCGUGUUCUGUGACUAUUUCAGGCCUUCUUUAAUGAAGGUAACUCUAGAAAAAUGUCCUCUAAAGGAACAGAGAUUUACUCUCAUGGGAAAAUGGUUACUUCAGGGUAGGAGUGUGAGAUUAAUGAUCACCCCACACUUAAAGCAUCUAAGAUCACAUAAAAAUUGCACUUUAAUAAGGUAAACUAUUUUGUAAUAAACUUUGUACUCCAGUUUGGGGAAGACUUAGCUGGUUGAUUUGAAUUGCAAAGAUUUUAAAAUAACCUUUAAUUUGCAUAUUUUAUGAUGUGGGGGAAAGUUACUAUAAAAUUAAAAUAAUAAACUUGUAGGAAGGAAGCAGCAGAAUAAAGACAAGGAAAAUACUUAAAUGUAAUCUAGAAGUGCCAGUGUUGUUACUUAGUAGGUAUGGGAAACAUCAAAGAUAGAAAGGUGCUUAGGCUUUGCAGCUUAUCAAAAGAAUUGCAUUGAAUGGCCAUAUCCAGAUGGAAGAAAAUAGGAGGUUUAAUAGCAAUCAGCUUGCUUUUUAAUAAUGAACUCUUUAAUGAUGUGAAUCUCAAGAAAGGUGCACAUAAGAAAGCAAAACAGUAAGAUCAGGCCUAAUAACAUAUAAUAUUUUAGGAAAUACUUAAUAUUUCCCUCAAGAACUAUACUGAUAAGGAAAAGGAGAUUAAGGAAAAGAUCAUGGUUGCCACAGGGGGAAAAAGAAGUAUUUGGCUUCAAGAUCAAGCACAGUGCUGAGACUGAUAAUAAAGAAGCAAAUAUUAGAGAUUAAAUGGGACAAAAUACAUAAAUUUCAAAUUUGUCCUGGUAAAUAACUAAUAUCAUUAAGGAGAAAUGCUUAUUUAUCUGUAGGAUCUGGUUAAUGGAUGGAUGUGGUCUUUUGUUGUUGUUUUCUAGUGGGGGAAGGGAGGCUACUUUUGCUUAAUUUCAGACUGUCGGAAAAAAUGAGUUCAGCAUCUGAAGAAGCACAAGAAGAAAUGCUUUUCUGCCGGAGGUUUACAGCAGAAAACAGUUGGGGAUUAUUGAGCAGCUGACUAAUGACUGUUUUUAACUAUGUCUAAUUUCUUGAGCAAAAGAAAUUGGCAGAUUUGUAAACAGCAGUGGAAGGCACCAAGUAAAUUCUUUCCUGUAUUCCGUGUGAAGAUCUGAAAUCAAGUAUCAUGUCUACAUUAAGCAUUGCACUUCUGAAGGUGUAUAUACAAGUAUAUCCAUAUAUGCAUGUAUAUAAAUAUGGUUAUCAUACAACUUCUUAAGAGCAACUGACGAUCUGUUAAUGUGUUUGGAGAUAAACAAUUUUUCAAAAAUUAAUUAUAAUAUUUUUGAAAUUUCAUGUUUUUAAAAAGUAGUAACAAAGCAUUAGUAAAAAAAAAAAAAGUAUGUAUUAUUAUGCAUCUUCUCUGUCCUUCUUUAGUGCUAGUCUUCAAUCUUUCCUGAAAUGUUACACUUUUUUGCCUUUUUUUUUCCAGAGGUCAGAAGCAGAUGCUCUCCUUGAUACAGCUUAUUUCUUCAACAUUAUUCUCGAGUAAUUACGCUGCAUCUGUUACAUAGGAUGGAGGAGUUUUGGGAAUAAAAAUGUAUAUAGGUCUGAGCUGUAUGAGCUGAAGCAGAAGCAGUCUUGGCUGUUGGCAGCAACUUGAGUAGGAACUUGAAAAAAAAGGGAGCCAUACAAAGACAGACAGGGUCGGCCUGUGCAUCUGACAUGAAGGAAGGGAAGGAAGCAGCAGUGUUGUUUCUAUAAGGAAAGAAGCUGCAGGUGUUGAAGGUUUGAUUCCAGGCACAGACAGCUCAGCCUUACUCCUGGCAGGAUGAAGCAGGUCCUAGAUGUGCUUUGAGGGCAGAUGGCUCAAGGUGGCUCCCCCUCUCCCAGGAACAAGAGGCCCCGCUGACCCAAUCCUUUAUGCCUCUGCCUGGACAUGGCACCAUUACCUGCAUCGGGUCUUCGCUAGCUCAAUAUACCCUCAGGAGUAUCUGCCAAUCUACAUAAAUCUCAGGGUGACGGUACCUACUUUGCCACAGGAGCAGCCCUGGCAAGAAGUUUCAACUGAGAGAACUCAACUAGCAAAAGAAGAUAUGAAGAGGAAUAAGACUGCCUGUUGCUGGUGUCAUUGGCAAACUGCAAUCUUGCUGCUCAACUGUUAGGUGCUCAAUAGAUGUGCUGUACUUGAGAUCCAACCACUGACUGAUCAUUAGAUUGCUGACAUCAUCACCUUAGAAAUCUACAGCCUUUCCUUCCUGCGUUCAUUUAGAAAUCAAGUGAACAGGACAACAGCUCUUCCUGGAAGUCAGCCAAGGGAUCUACUCAGAGUCACAGCUCAAUUCCCACUUGAUGCUCUGAAAAUCCCAUGAUGUCUAGAGGUAUAAUCUCUAAAUAGCAAUAAAUCAUUAACUCCAGCCUUUUGUUUCCAGCCUGUCAAAAUGUCUUUUAUUUGCCUCUGUCCUGAGUGGAUUUAUGUUUGUAGGUUUUUUUCAUUAGAACAAUUCAAAUGUUAUCAAUUAUGUAAGAAUCUGUUUGUUUUGCUAUUCAAAUAAAAAGACUGAGAAAAUAAUUGUA